GAAGCAAUUUGCUUAAUUUUACUCUGGAAAUAGUAAACAAUUCAUAUAUCACCAACUAAUCAUCAAGCAAAUGCUUUGGUUAACUUUUUCUUUUCAAAGGACCACAAUUCUCCUAUCUGUGAAGAUGAGAAAUCUGUACUGAAGAACCAGAAAUGCAGAAACUCUGUACUGAAGAAUCAGAGAUGCAGAAGCAAGAAGAUGUAUUGAAAAGUUUGAAGAUUGAUCAAGAAAAACUUUGUAUUCUUCUUAUUUCAAUCACAAUGUAUUUCAGAACUUGUACAUCAAUGAGCAGAAAGAAACUUUUAUCUCGACUCCAUACUUUCUAUCUUUUAUCUGCAUAUUGUUGUACUCUUUUACAGAGAACUCAAACAAUGGAGGUUUUCUCUCUUUCUCUCUCUGGAUCACAUAUCAAAAACCACACUCGUAAACUAUACACACUUUCCUAUUUAAGAAGAUGAUGACUAACUGACAAAACUAAUUUUUGUUUUUGACUUUCCAACUGAAUAACAACUUUACAUGUCUUCAUAGGCUAGCAAUCCGCAAUCCGUGUCAAUCUUUUUCACAAAUUCACCAUCGUCAAUGACAGUCUUCAUUACCCUUCAUCUCAGUCGUUCAUUUGCAGCCUCUUCUUUCGACUGGUAUCAACCACUUCUUCCCUUUUUGCUUAUAUCAGCAAUCACUUGCUUUUGUUCUUUUGUCAGCUUCAGCAGCCUCAGCAGCAGCAUCUGUUCUAUUUCCAGCAUCAGUAUUAUGGAUAGCUGAUUUCUUUUGUCGAUAUAUCUUAACAUUAUCAAGCGCUUCAUGAUCAUCAACAAUUGCUUCAGCACCCUUCAGCAGAUCAUUGCCGCCCAUUUUGUUGCAAAUUUUUAGCGCUAUGGAUACCACGUGAAAGACUAUAUACUCAAAAAAAAAAAAAAAAAACCAACAAAACAUUCGUAAGAUAAUUUUUUUAUGAAGAUAUUCCUGCCCUCUAAGGGUGAAUCAAUAACCGUAGAGUCAAUCAAGGGUUAUGUUGAAGCAAAGUGAUAAUGAGUUGAUGGAGAUAGACAACUUUAAAGUCCCGGAAGACCAAGACUUUCACCUACCAAAGAGUUUAAACAGAGACCAAGACUUUCAAGGAUGCUUUCUGUCCACAAGUACUUUGUUCAUGCAGAUAAACCAUAAACUCAAGAAGGCCAAGACUUUAUUGGACAUCAUGUAUUUGUUUGUCUAUAAAGUGAAGCAGAAGCGAAAGAGAGCAAAUGAAAAAGAUAGAGUUUGCAGGAUGCAAAUUGGCAUUGUUACAUCACUUCUCACAUCCCUCCUCUUUCAUCCCUAUGUGAAUGCCUUUGUUUUUUCAUUACUAG
rnacentral:lncRNA from 1 species